rnacentral:rRNA from 1 species
CCUACGGGCGGCAGCAGUGGGGAAUAUUGCACAAUGGGGGAAACCCUGAUGCAGCGACGCCGCGUGAGUGAAGAAGUAUUUCGGUAUGUAAAGCUCUAUCAGCAGGGAAGAAAAUGACGGUACCUGACUAAGAAGCCCCGGCUAACUACGUGCCAGCAGCCGCGGUAAUACGUAGGGGGCAAGCGUUAUCCGGAUUUACUGGGUGUAAAGGGAGCGCAGACGGCCAUGCAAGCCAGAAGUGAAAGCCCGGGGCCCAACCCCGGGACUGCAUUUGGAACUGUAAGGCUAGAGUGCAGGAGGGGCAGGCGGAAGUCCUAGUGUAGCGGUGAAAUGCGUAGAUAUUAGGAGGAACACCAGUGGCGAAGGCGGCCUGCUGGACGGUGACUGACGUUGAGGCUCGAAGGCGUGGGGAGCAAACAGGAUUAGAUACCCGGGUAGUC